rnacentral:rRNA from 1 species
AUGGUUGAACUUAAAAGGCAUGACAUGUUUCCUACUGUUUAUCGCCUCAUUGAGUUGGCAUUGCUACUACCGGUAGCAAUGACAACAAUUGAAAGGGUCUUCUCAUCAAUGAAAAUCAUCAAAAUUGAGUUGUGCAGCAAGAUAUCUGAUGGUUGGCUUAAUGACUUGAUAGUGUAUUACAUUGAGCGAGCGGUCUUCAAAAAUAUUGAUCUUGCUAAAAUUAAGGAAGAUUUUUAG